CUACGGGGCGCUCCAGUGAGGAGUUUUGCGCAAUGGGCGAAAGCCUGACGCAGCAACGCCGCGUGAGGGAAGAAGGCCUUCGGGUUGUAAACCUCUUUCGACUGGAAAGAAGUCUCUCUUUUUGAGAGAUUGACGGUACCAGGAGAAGAAGCCACGGCUAACUCUGUGCCAGCAGCCGCGGUAAGACAGAGGUGGCAAGCGUUGUUCGGAAUUACUGGGCGUAAAGGGUGUGUAGGUGGUUGAACAAGUCAAUGGUGAAAGCCCAUAGCUUAACUAUGGAAGUGCCCUUGAAACUGUUUAACUUGAGUGCAGGAGAGGAGGGUGGAAUUCCCGGUGUAGAGGUGAAAUUCGUAGAUAUCGGGGGGAACACCAGCGGCGAAGGCGACCCUCUGGACUGUAACUGACACUGAGACACGAAAGCGUGGGGAGCAAACAGGAUUAGAUACCCUAGUAGUC
rnacentral:rRNA from 1 species